rnacentral:rRNA from 1 species
CAACUUUCAGCAACGGAUCUCUUGGCUCUCGCAUUGAUGAAGAACGCAGCGAAAUGCGAUAAGUAAUGUGAAUUGCAGAAUUCAGUGAAUCAUCGAAUCUUUGAACGCACCUUGCGCUCCUUGGUAUUCCGAGGAGCAUGCCUGUUUGAGUGUCAUUA